GUGCUCGCUUCGGCAGCACAUAUACUAAAAUUGGAACGAUACAGAGAAGAUUAGCAUGGCCCCUGCACAAGGAUGACACGCAACUAAAUUAAAAAAACAAAAAAACA